UACGAAGGGGGCUAGCGUUGCUCGGAAUUACUGGGCGUAAAGCGCACGUAGGCGGCUUUUUAAGUCGGAGGUGAAAUCCUGGAGCUCAACUCCAGAACUGCCUUCGAUACUGAAGAGCUCGAGUCCGGGAGAGGUGAGUGGAACUGCGAGUGUAGAGGUGAAAUUCGUAGAUAUUCGCAAGAACACCAGUGGCGAAGGCGGCUGACUGGUCCGGUUCUGACGCUGAGGCGCGAAAGCGUGGGGAGCAAACAGG
rnacentral:rRNA from 1 species